rnacentral:lncRNA from 1 species
UUUUCAGAGCUGUCGGGAGGUUGCUGCAAAUUGGUUCCUAGGUCUCUCUUCUCUGCUCUCUGUCUUUCUGUCUCUUUUUCUCCCCCGUUUUGUAAUAGUCUCCAGUCCGUUUUUCCCAAAUGAAGCUCUGGUAUUUAUAACCUGAUUUUGGUGGCUUGGUGGGCUUAGAGUCAAGCCCAAAAUUUUCUAUUAUUUUCCAAAAUGCGC